rnacentral:hammerhead_ribozyme from 1 species
CGCCGAAACGCCUGCGGGCGUCGUCCGGCGGUGGUUCGCCGGGCCUGAUGAUGGUAGCCAACC